rnacentral:lncRNA from 1 species
AACAGUUCUAAGCAGCAUCAGAUUUAGAUUUUGGCUUUGAAUUUUAGAUUUUCUUGAAGAGGGGCCUAGUGCAUGAGAACCUCAAACCCCAAAACAAAGAGUCUAAAACUGUUAAAUGUGCUGCUAAAUUACAUCAUUAAACAGCUCUUCAUUUUUUUCUAGUUAUGCAAGGAGAUACUUAAGGUCCUGCUUGUAGAGAUGGAGAGCAGAAGAAAAGAACAAGCAGACGAGAGACUCAGAGAAAAGACAGUUAAAGAAGUGAGAGGCUGAAACAUGUGAAUGUUCCUCCGCUGGUCUGCUGCUGGUGUCCUGGUUGUCAGAGAGCAGCGCUACUGAUGUAUUCAGUAUUGUGCUACUGACAGAACCCUCUUUGUUUGUGAUGAAUGACUGUGCCAGCAGUCCUGACGGCUCUGCUGUUCAAUACAUAUAGAUACAAUACCGGCUGCCUCCGUGACACGCUGAUGGGUUUUGUCCCCGUUCGUUUUCAUACCGUUUAAUCUCGGCCACCGUAUUGUGGGUGUCGCUUGAGAUGGGCAGAUUGGACCCGGCAUCUUCUCGCUGGUCCCCUCCUGUGUUCUGUGAGGAAUGUUUCAUGGGGGACAGGCUCUUUUUCCUCCAUAAGAUGACUUACUUCCAGGGAGUGAAUAGUUUCGUCCAAAACCAGAGGGGUAAUGAAGGUUUGGUUGGAUCUGUUUCUCUGGGAUGUUUUGAAAAAUUUACCUUUUGUACUCUCUGACAGUGCCAUUUAUCUGCCAUUUCCAAUUGGACUCUAUUUAUGGGAUUCAUCCCAUGGGAUAUACGCAGCCCUAGCCUUCCCAAUUCCUUGUGCGUAAUCAGGUCUGGACUGGUUGUGUGCUGUUUUGUUAUUUCGCAAGUCAACCUUUAAAGUUCCAAGAAGCUCAAGAUCAUUUUAAUAGCUCAAAAACAUAGUUAACAAAAAGUAUCAGGUUUUAAGUGUCAGACUUUUCCUAAUUGGAUGAGAAAUGGGCUCAGAUUGACCUCAAACAUUGUUAUAAUAUUGGAUAACAGUCAUAUUUCUGUUUGUUAAAGCUAUAAUAUUAUCUGCCUACCGGGUUUUGACUAAUGCAGACAACCAUUUAAUUUAAAGUCAAAAUAAGAGGUUAAUUUCAAAUGAGAGUUUCAUUACAUAUGCACUUACAUCAUUGGGUCUCUGGUAAACCAUACAGUCAUUUUCAAC